UCCAGCCCUAACUAUAUACUUCAGCAAAAAGGAAAGUUUUAAGCCUAAUCUGUCAGGGCUAGUGGGUCGGACUCAAGCGCAGGCAGCGGGUCACAUUUACAGUCUUCAACUUUAUUGAACACUAAGUGCUAUUUACAAAGUGAGGGAUUUGGGAAGGGCUCCAACGGGUCCACAGGUUGAUGGGGAAAGGGACGGGUGCUCCACACUCGUGGGGUCUCAGCCGCUCCUCACACUCGCUCUCGCUCUCAGCUUACACUCACGCUCAAUCCUCCAAACUGCAGGGAAUGGUAAAUGGUCUGAAUUUGUAUAGAGCUUUACUAGUCCCUAAGGACCCCAAAGCUCUAUACAAUACCGGGCAUUGGCCCCACCGGGCCCUCUGACCACCACCAGUAGGCAACGGGUGAAGUGUCUUGCCCAAGGACACAACGACCGAGACUGUCCAAGCCGGGGCUCAAACCGGCAACCUUCCAAUUGCAAAGCGAACUCCCAACUCUUGAGCCACGAUCGCCCCAACAGGAAGGAUCUGGGUAUCUGAAGACAGGAAGGGAAGCAAUCACUAAAGGUACACGAUAUUGGACACAAAUCUAUAAACCGGGAUUAUCACGUGGUAAUUCAAUAUUCCAGCGAUGAGAGGCUCUGAGCUGCUGCCUUUAGUAGUGUCCAGAAACAGUGACAAGCUACAGGUGCGUUAUUAGUGGAUAUUCGAUCCACGUGAGCUGGUCACUCCAGGUGGUUUGGAGAAUCGAUCAGUUAUUGUUAAUAUAGUGGUAUUACCUGCGGAAUGGGGCAGUCCAGUGACGAAGUCAAGGGAGAUAUGAGACCACGGGCGGCCGGGCAUGGGUAACGGGUGAAGUAAUCCCGAUGGAAGCUGGUGGGAGAGCUUGUUUUGAGCGCAGGUGGUGCAGUAGGUCACAUACUCUCUGGUGUCCUUUGCUAGUGUGUGCCCCCCCCCCCAAAAAAAAAUCAAAUGAACAAUGUGGUGCGGUGGACCCCAGGGUGACAGGAAAAAUGGGCAGUAUGUGCCUACUGCAGAACCAGAGAUCUGACAGAGACCGGGACUAAAAACCGCCCAGGUGGGCCAGUACCUAGGUCAGGCUCCAUUCGCUGCACCUCAUGGACGAGUGACUCAAUCUCCCAGGUUAUCCUCCCAAUAGUACAGGAGGGGGGAAGCACCAGUACAGGGUCCGACUCUUCUUCCGCUUAGGUGAACUGCUGGGAGAGAGCAUCUGGCUUCACGUUCCGCGAGCCGGACCUGUAAGUGAUGGAAAAGUUAAAACCUGUAAAAAACAAAGCCCACCUGGCUUGCCAGGAGUUAAGGCGCUUGGCCGACCAUAUGUACUCUCAGUUCUUGUGGUCAGUCCAGACAAUGAACGGCUGUGCGGCGCCCUCUAGCCAAUGUCUCCACUCUUCCAGAGCCAACUUUAUGGCUAACAGCUCCCGGUCCCCUAUGUUAUAAUUGCGUUCUGCUGGCGAGAGGCGAUGGGAGUAAAAUGCACAGGGAUGGAGCUUAACAUCCCUCCGUUGUGACAGGACUGCCCCAACCCCGGAGUCAGUUGCGUCCACCUCCACUACAAUCUGUUGGCUGAGGUCAGGCUGACGAAGAAUGGGGGCAGUGGCAAAGCGGUCCUUUAGACGAGAGAAGGCUUCUUGGGCUGACUGGUCCCACUGAAAGGGAACCUUGGGAGAGGUCAUCCUGGUGAGAGGCAGAGCAAUUUUACUAAAGUCUCAUAAACCGGCGGUAAAAAUUAGCAAACCCCAAAAAGUGCUGGAGCUGUCAGCGAUUCGGGGGCACUGGCAACUCGAGCACCACUUGUACUUUAGCUGGGUCCGGUUUCAGAUCACCCUUCUCAAUAAUGUAUCCCAGAAAAGCCACCGAAUCCAUGUGAAAGUUACAUUUCUCUCCCUUUACAAAAAGCCUGUUUUCCAAUAGAUGCUGGAGUAUUUGCCGGACGUGGAUUUCAUGCUCAGCAAGAGUCUUUGAGAAUAUGAAGAUGUUGUCCAAAUACACAAACGUCCAGCGGCUAAUAAAAUCCCGAGGAACAUUAGUGGAGACACUAAAGCCCUGCAACAGACUAGUGACCUCUACAGGGUGUACGCCACCAUAUGACUUUAAACCAGAGCCAGACGUCGUCUACUCUUCACUGAAGUA